rnacentral:rRNA from 1 species
GGUGGAGCGAUUUGUCUGGUUAAUUCCGAUAACGAACGAGACUCUGGCCUAUUAAAUAGUACAGUCAUUCCGAUGCGUGUGCACUGUUACUUCUUAGAGGGACAAGCGGCGUCUAGCCGCAUGAAAUAGAGCAAUAACAGGUCUGUGAUGCCCUUAGAUGUCCGGGGCUGCACGCGCGCUACACUGAAAGAAUCAGUGUGCGUCGAGACCCUAGUCCGGAAGGACCGGGUAACCCCAGUAAAUUCUUUCGUGCUUGGGAUAGGGAAUUGAAAUUAUUUCCCUUAAACGAGGAAUUCCCAGUAAAUGCGGGUCAUAAGCUCGCGUUGAAUACGUCCCUGCCCUUUGUAC